UUAUGGCGGCUUUUAUUAUUGGAGACUUAUGGUGAUAAUAGAGAAUCCACUAAAAUCUUACUUUUCUUUAUUUAUUUUUUAUAUCUCCGUCAGAAAAAUAAAAUUUUACUUUUAUUUUUUAUUAUAUUCAAUCUAUGUCAGGUAAAGAUGAAGAUUAUAGAAAAGCUUAGCUGUAAGUUAAAGAAUUAAUUGUAAACUUGAUUUGAAAAUAAUUAAUGAAUUAAAUUCAAAAGUAAAUUUUUUUUAUUAUAAAAUUUUGAAAAUUAAUCAAAAGUGUACACAUCGCCCGUCGCU
rnacentral:rRNA from 1 species